AGCUUAUCUAAUUUAUACCACUGGAAAUCUAAGACAAGCCUUUAAAAUCCACAUUAAAAAAAAAAAAAAAAAAGAGAGAAGAGAAGUGCAAGACUAUAAAAAGGGAAGGGAGCUUAAUCUAGGUUUGUUUACUAUUUAGGGUGACUUGACUUGAUUGUAAUAUUCACGAGUGACAAAGUAAUGUCUGUAAGAUGGCAAAGCCUACAUUUUAUUUUUCUCAGCCCAACCAUCAUUCAGGGCUACAGCAUACCAGAAACACAGACAGAAUCGAAAGCUCCACUUCUGACAUGGAAUUUCACCUGAUUGAUGGCACCCUGAUGGCUAACUUGAUGCUUUUCCGAGAUCUUCUCCUCUCCUACUCAUGGGUGUUAUCUUCCAAAACAAAGUGCCUGCAGAUGUACCCCGUGUGCGUGCAACCAGCCAGCAGAACUGCCAGGAGCUGUGUGGCCAGUGACCAGAUUCCCCAGUUGCCGAAGAGGCCAGCUGCUGGCACCCCCCAGACAAGGACAGCCCAGGUCAGCGUGGAAGCAGACCUCCAGGGCCCGAAGAAACACCUGUGGGCAGCAGGCAGGUGUUGCAAAUUCCAGUUUAGGUAUCACAGAAAGAGGGUGUUUCACUUAUUGAUAAAUAGUUUGAAUAUCUUAAAUCAUUCUAAGGUCUCCUCUAGAGUGGGUUACAGUUAGAAAACUUGGUGUUACUUAAUUUCUUCUCCAAUUAGUAUGGGUAAGGGGAAAUAUGAACUGCAUAAAAUAGAUAUGCAAACACUCUUACCUGUCAGAGAUGUGGUAAGAUUUAUCUGUGACAUGUUUUACUACACAGACAAUGACAAGGUUUACAUACUAGCUACACUUUUUCAUAUCUUGCAAAUCCUGAAAAUAUGUAACAAACAAGUCUUAAAAUAAGAAUCGUGGAAGAGGGAUUUCUGUUUCACAAACAAAUUAUUUACAGACAAAUAUUUCAUAUAAUGCUGUUAACUUAUAUUAACUGUCUUAGCAAACAGCAUUACUACAUCCUUUCUCCAUUUGCAGUUCACUUACCUGUUCCUUAUGUCCUUGUGUUUGGCUACUAGGAAUGCCUGUUUUAAGAGUUCAAUGUAAUCUUGAGCUAUUUACAUGUCAGAAAAUCCCAAUACCAAUCUGCCAACUUUUCAUGAAAUUGUACUGCAAAUAGGUGGACUUUCAGCUUAGAAGUGGUGGAAUUCAGAACUAUUAGUUUCAUAGGUGCUAAGAAGUGCAGAAGAUGCAUAUUUUUGUGACAAUUUUUUUGGCAUUGAUUGACGGUUCAAUUUUCUGUUCUAAAUAUAUAGUUGUAUAAAUAUAGUCAAAAUGGCAUUAUUCCGUAUGUUCCAACUUUGGUAAAUUAACCUGUUUUGGUAUUCUUAUGAAAGCUGUAAG
rnacentral:lncRNA from 1 species